rnacentral:rRNA from 1 species
CCUACGGGGGGCAGCAGUGGGGAAUAUUGCGCAAUGGGCGAAAGCCUGACGCAGCGACGCCGCGUGAGGGAUGACGGUCCUCGGAUCGUAAACCUCUGUCAGCAGGGAAGAACGGUCACUGUGCUAAUCAGCAGUGAAUUUACGGUACCUGCAAAGGAAGCACCGGCUAACUCCGUGCCAGCAGCCGCGGUAAUACGGAGGGUGCUAGCGUUAAUCGGAAUUACUGGGCGUAAAGCGCUCGUAGGCGGUAUGUCAAGUCAAGGGUGAAAUCCCCGGGCUCAACGUGGGAACUGCCUUUGAUACUGGGCAACUGGAGAGUGUGAGAGGUUGGUGGAAUUCCAGGUGUAGGAGUGAAAUCCUUAGAUAUC